rnacentral:rRNA from 1 species
AGUGAGCGCUGGCGGUAGGCCUAACACAUGCAAGUCGAACGGCAGCACAGUAAGAGCUUGCUCUUACGGGUGGCGAGUGGCGGACGGGUGAGGAAUACAUCGGAACCCACUUUUUCGUGGGGGAUAACGUAGGGAAACUUACGCUAAUACCGCAUACGACCUACGGGUGAAAGCAGGGGAUCUUCGGACCUUGCGCGAUUGAAUGAGCCGAUGUCGGAUUAGCUAGUUGGCGGGGUAAAGGCCCACCAAGGCGACGAUCCGUAGCUGGUCUGAGAGGAUGAUCAGCCACACUGGAACUGAGACACGGUCCAGACUCCUACGGGAGGCAGCAGUGGGGAAUAUUGGACAAUGGGCGCAAGCCUGAUCCAGCCAUACCGCGUGGGUGAAGAAGGCCUUCGGGUUGUAAAGCCCUUUUGUUGGGAAAGAAAAGCAGCAGGUUAAUACCCCGCUGUUCUGACGGUACCCAAAGAAUAAGCACCGGCUAACUUCGUG